ACCAAGAAUGUGAAAUGUUGGU
rnacentral:siRNA from 1 species